rnacentral:lncRNA from 1 species
AGGCGGGGGCUCCGGGUCCCCACCCCCGGCUGUGAGUGCCCACACGGAGCCCCGAGGAGCUGAGAGCCCCCAAGAAGGCUGUUUCUGGGUGUGAGCACCGCUGCCCGAGUGUGCGGAAAAGGGGAGUUGCUUCCUGGAGGCGCCGUGGAGCUGGGGAGUUGGGGUUUGGGGUGGGGAGGGCGGGAAGCGGCGGGGGAGAAGCGGAGUCCCGGGAGAGAAAGGAGGCAUCCAGCGCCUCGGGAGAAGAGUCCUGGAGCGCGAGGCGGGGGGAGGCUGCAGCCCCUGGUGCAGGCCAGAGGUGAGUGUCGAGGCGGGGCGGGGGGGGGGGG